GGAGAUAUGGCCCUGAGGGAGGGGACCAUGUCCUGCUUUUAUGGUUCCUCUAGUGAGUAUUUAUUUGCAGUUGUCUCCCAGACGGCAGCCCUGACCUGUGGCACCGUGGGAUCCACAGCAACUCCGUGUUCAGUGUUACCGUGGCGGGGGGCGGGUGGUGGCGGAACCCAGAGAUAGAGAUCCAAAUGCAAACCACAGGCGGGCAGCAGUGAGGAGAGGGGAGCUGAGCGGAGACUCAGGAGGCAGAGGGCCAAGCCAGGUGGCAGGGCCCAGAGCUUCCAGAGAGGCAGGUCAUUCUGUUUGGUCCAAAGGCAGAGUGUCGGGGCAGGGGACAGGCUGCAGGGGGAAGAACACACAGGAAGGGCAGGAACUGAACAGGGAAGAGCUGGGGCCAGACCUAAGCCCCAGAGACCAGCAGUGUCCCCAGGAAGAACUGGAGACAAAGCCAGGGGCAGCCCCUUGGGGCACCCCCAGGAUGGUGCCCAGCCUGCCCAGGUGGCACCGCAGCAGCAGCAGGCUGGACACACCUCCCCAGGACCUGCAGGCCUGGGCUUCCCCGCCUUCUCCCCUGCAGGUGGUCUGACCCCUCCCUUCCCUCUGCCCGUUCCUUUGCUCCCCACCUGCCCAGCACGGUUCUCACCCUUCAGUGUUUUGCUCCUCCUCUGCCAGCUUCCUGUCUGUG
rnacentral:lncRNA from 1 species